rnacentral:tRNA from 1 species
GAGGGUAUAGCUCAGAAGUAGAGUGUAUGCUUAGCAUGCACAAGGUCCUGGGCUCAAUCCCCAGUCCCUCCA